AGAAAUGUGUAUAGGUGCCUUUUAGACCAAAAAAAGCCAGAAAAUGUAUUUUUGGCUCAUGUCAAUGAAAGACAACUCCCAGAAUGCUCUUGCUUCGCUUCCCUAUGAGAGGAAUGUAGAA